GAUGAACGCUGGCGGCGUGCUUAACACAUGCAAGUCGAACGAAACACCUCUCCCGGCGAUUGACUCAGCUUGCCGUGGGGUGGUUCAUUUGAGGUUACUGCGGGGCGGACGGGUGCGUAGCGCGUGGGUAACCUGCACCUUAGAGGGGGACAACAGUUGGCUACGACUGCUAGUACCGCAUAGUAAGAAGAAUUCGCAUGUUUUCUGCUUGAAAGGUUUAUCGCUAUGGGAUGGGCACGCGCCUGCUUAGCUAGUGAGUAUGGUAACGGCUUACCAAGGGGACGAUCAGUAGACGGGUUGAGAGAGUGAGCCGCCACACUGGGACGGAGCCACGGCGCAAACUCCUACGGGAGGCAGCAGAGGGGAAUAUAGCACAAUGGGGGAAACGAUGAUGCAGCGACGCCGGGUGAGUGAAGAUGUAGUUCGAGAAGUAAAGCUCUAUAAGCAGGGGAGAUAAUGACGGUACCUGAAUAAGAAGCCCCGGCUAACUACGUG
rnacentral:rRNA from 1 species